AGUUAAUUUAAUAAAUGGAAAAAUGAUGGUUUUUCUAGCUUAUCAAGUUUAUUGUAGGCCCUAUAGGAAAUGCGCAGUAUACUGCUGCUGUUCAAACAGUAGCAAGACAAUACUGUGUGGGGUUUUGUAUCAAUGACUGUUUCAUCAGUCAAUAAACUAGUUGAUUUAUUUUGUUUUGCUACUUUCCUUCUUGUAAACAAUGUACAGGAUCUGACAUUUAAUGUAUUCAGGGCCAUCCAUUAAGGAAAGAAUUAGCUAGUUAGGUUACUUGCAGAAAGAUGUGUCUUGGCACGUACAGUUACCAGCAGCAUCUUGUGUGACAGUAGUCAUGUGUGAAUAACUUAACUUUUCGUUGUCUUUUAUUUGCUCUUGGAUCCCAUUAGGGUUCUUCCUCUCUUGGUCUCAUUAAAAACUUUUGCCUUUUGUUAUUAAUUAAAUGGGAAUGUCUGUGGCCAGUGACUAAAGAACAGACAGAUUGUGUUAUACAAGUGAUUUGGAUUUUGAGAAUUUCAUGAAAUCAAAGGUAGGAUCAAAUUAAGUAAAGUACGGGGAUCUGUAAAUCUAUCUUUUCUUUAGGUUAUGAUGUCUAACUGGUAAAGCUGAUCAGAUAAGCCCCUUGAGCCUGGGACCAUCUUUUUGUUCUGGGUUUGUGCAGCACCUAACACAAUGGGAGUCCUGGUCCAUGAUUGGGAUUCCUAGGCACUAGGUAAUACAAAUAAAAAAUCUGCCGUUUAAAGAUGCUGUGCCAUCAACUUAAUUGUCCAAAUGAACUGAACUGAAUCCUCUGAGAGUAGAUCUUCUGGUUCCGCUCAUUCCUCACAAUAUAAUAAUGGCUGAGUUAGAACUUUGAAAACAUUGCCAUUUUCUCUGGCAUGAAGAUUUGAUCCAUGUGGUCUGUCAUUGGGCAGUAUUGUAUCUAACCACUGAGAUGGCAAAGACAUCUCUACUUGCCAAUUACCUAUGUACUUCAAUCUGCAUCCUCCUAGAAUCGGUGUUCUUCCCUAUAUUUUCUCAGAUGUGAUAUUAAGUGAACAUUUCCUAUUAAUGUUUAGAGGAUAUAAAUCACAACUGGGUAGUCUCCAUCCCAACUCCCUGAGUAGGCUUAAUAUAGUAUAGCUUUCCCAUGCUUGUCUGACGUCCUCUCUCUGACCAAACCAGGAAUUUGUAUCUAUUGUUUUGAAUAUGUUGCCAUUUACUCAUCCUUCAUAUUAGGAAAUAGCCUUAUGCAAACAAAGAAAUUAGGAAAAGAUGCUCAGCAUAAUUAAGUCCCCUCUGCCCCAUGUGGAUAAAGAAAUUUUCAAUUAAAUAUUUAAUUUCAUGCGUUUCAUUUUUAAUAAUUCAUCUUUUUUU